rnacentral:rRNA from 1 species
GACGAACGCUGGCGGCGUGCCUAAUACAUGCAAGUAGAACGCUGAAGAGAGGAGCUUGCUCUUCUUGGAUGAGUUGCGAACGGGUGAGUAACGCGUAGGUAACCUGCCUUGUAGCGGGGGAUAACUAUUGGAAACGAUAGCUAAUACCGCAUAACAAUGGAUGACACAUGUCAUUUAUUUGAAAGGGGCAAUUGCUCCACUACAAGAUGGACCUGCGUUGUAUUAGCUAGUAGGUGAGGUAACGGCUCACCUAGGCGACGAUACAUAGCCGACCUGAGAGGGUGAUCGGCCACACUGGGACUGAGACACGGCCCAGACUCCUACGGGAGGCAGCAGUAGGGCAUCUUCGGCAAUGGGGGCAACCCUGACCGAGCAACGCCGCGUGAGUGAAGAAGGUUUUCGGAUCGUAAAGCUCGGUUGUAAGUCAAGAACGAGUGUGAGAGUGGAAAGUUCACACUGUGACGGUAGCUUACCAGAAAGGGACGGCUAACUACGUG